AUUGAACGCUGGCGGCAGGCCUAACACAUGCAAGUCGAACGGUAACAGGAAACAGCUUGCUGUUUCGCUGACGAGUGGCGGACGGGUGAGUAAUGUCUGGGAAACUGCCUGAUGGAGGGGGAUAACUACUGGAGACGGUAGCUAAUACCGCAUAACGUCGCAAGACCAAAGAGGGGGACCUUCGGGCCUCUUGCCAUCGGAUGUGCCCAGAUGGGAUUAGCUAGUAGGUGGGGUAACGGCUCACCUAGGCGACGAUCCCUAGCUGGUCUGAGAGGAUGACCAGCCACACUGGAACUGAGACACGGUCCAGACUCCUACGGGAGGCAGCAGUGGGGAAUAUUGCACAAUGGGCGCAAGCCUGAUGCAGCCAUGCCGCGUGUAUGAAGAAGGCCUUCGGGUUGUAAAGUACUUUCAGCGGGGAGGAAGGGAGUAAAGUUAAUACCUUUACUCAUUGACGUUACCCGCAGAAGAAGCACCGGCUAACUCCGUG
rnacentral:rRNA from 1 species